UACAGAGGUGGCAAGCGUUGUUCGGAAUUACUGGGCGUAAAGGGCGCGUAGGCGGUCUUUUAAGUCUUGUGUGAAAUCCCUCGGCUUAACUGAGGAACUGCACGGGAUACUGGAUGACUUGAGUUCGGGAGAGGGAAGCGGAAUUCUGGGUGUAGCGGUGAAAUGCGUAGAUAUUCGCAAGAACACCAGUGGCGAAGGCGGCUCACUGGCCCGAUACUGACGCUGAGGCACGAAAGCGUGGGGAGCAAACAGG
rnacentral:rRNA from 1 species